rnacentral:rRNA from 1 species
GAAUGCUGGUGUGAGUAGCGAAAGACGGGUGAGAAUCCCGUCCACCGAUUGACUAAGGUUUCCAGAGGAAGGCUCGUCCGCUCUGGGUUAGUCGGGUCCUAAGCUGAGGCCGACAGGCGUAGGCGAUGGAUAACAGGUUGAUAUUCCUGUACCACCUAUAAUCGUUUUAAUCGAUGGGGGGACGCAGUAGAAUAGGCGAAGCGUGCGAUUGGAUUGCACGUCUAAGCAGUAAGGCUGAGUAUUAGGCAAAUCCGGUACUCGUUAAGGCUGAGCUGUGAUGGGGAGAAGACAUUGUGUCUUCGAGUCGUUGAUUUCACACUGCCGAGAAAAGCCUCUAGAUAGAAAAUAGGUGCCCGUACCGCAAACCGACACAGGUAGUCAAGAUGAGAAUUCUAAGGUGAGCGAGCGAACUCUCGUUAAGGAACUCGGCAAAAUGACCCCGUAACUUCGGGAGAAGGGGUGCUCUUUAGGGUUAACGCCCAGAAGAGCCGCAGUGAAUAGGCCCAAGCGACUGUUUAUCAAAAACACAGGUCUCUGCUAAACCGUAAGGUGAUGUAUAGGGGCUGACGCCUGCCCGGUGCUGGAAGGUUAAGAGGAGUGGUUAGCUUCUGCGAAGCUACGAAUCGAAGCCCCAGUAAACGGCGGCCGUAACUAUAACGGUCCUAAGGUAGCGAAAUUCCUUGUCGGGUAAGUUCCGACCCGCACGAAAGGCGUAACGAUUUGGGCACUGUCUCAACGAGAGACUCGGUGAAAUCAUAGUACCUGUGAAGAUGCAGGUUACCCGCGACAGGACGGAAAGACCCCGUGGAGCUUUACUGUAGCCUGAUAUUGAAAUUCGGCACAGCUUGUACAGGAUAGGUAGGAGCCUUUGAAACGUGAGCGCUAGCUUACGUGGAGGCGCUGGUGGGAUACUACCCUAGCUGUGUUGGCUUUCUAACCCGCACCACUUAUCGUGGUGGGAGACAGUGUCAGGCGGGCAGUUUGACUGGGGCGGUCGCCUCCUAAAAGGUAACGGAGGCGCUCAAAGGUUCCCUCAGAAUGGUUGGAAAUCAUUCAUAGAGUGUAAAGGCAUAAGGGAGCUUGACUGCGAGACCUACAAGUCGAGCAGGGUCGAAAGACGGACUUAGUGAUCCGGUGGUUCCGCAUGGAAGGGCCAUCGCUCAACGGAUAAAAGCUACCCCGGGGAUAACAGGCUUAUCUCCCCCAAGAGUUCACAUCGACGGGGAGGUUUGGCACCUCGAUGUCGGCUCAUCGCAUCCUGGGGCUGUAGUCGGUCCCAAGGGUUGGGCUGUUCGCCCAUUAAAGCGGUACGCGAGCUGGGUUCAGAACGUCGUGAGACAGUUCGGUCCCUAUCCGUCGUGGGCGUAGGAAAUUUGAGAGGAGCUGUCCUUAGUACGAGAGGACCGGGAUGGACAUACCUCUGGUGUACCAGUUGUCGUGCCAACGGCAUAGCUGGGUAGCUAUGUGUGGACGGGAUAAGUGCUGAAAGCAUCUAAGCAUGAAGCCCCCCUCAAGAUGAGAUUUCCCAACUUCGGUUAUAAGAUCCCUCAAAGAUGAUGAGGUUAAUAGGUUCGAGGUGGAAGCAUGGUGACAUGUGGAGCUGACGAAUACUAAUCGAUCGAAGACUUAAUCAA